rnacentral:rRNA from 1 species
UAAGCCUGUGAAGGUGGCCUGUGAGGGUUGCUGGAGGUAUCAGAAGUGCGAAUGCUGACAUAAGUAACGAUAAAGCGGGUGAAAAGCCCGCUCGCCGGAAGACCAAGGGUUCCUGUCCAACGUUAAUCGGGGCAGGGUGAGUCGACCCCUAAGGCGAGGCCGAAAGGCGUAGUCGAUGGGAAACGGGUUAAUAUUCCCGUACUUGGUGUUACUGCGAAGGGGGGACGGAGAAGGCUAUGUUGGCCGGGCGACGGUUGUCCCGGUUUAAGCGUGUAGGUGUGUGUUCCAGGUAAAUCCGGUUCACUUUAACACUGAGGCGUGAUGACGAGGCACUACGGUGCUGAAGCAACAAAUGC